CCAUCCUUUAAAGAUAGCGUAACAGCUCACCGGUCUAAUAGAGUUUCUGCGCCGAAGAUGUAACGGGGCUAAAAUCACAUACCGAAUCUGUGGGUUUAUAAAAUUUUCGAAUUUUAUACGCGGUAGCGGAACGUUCUGUAAGCCUGUAAAGGGAUACCCGCGAGGGAUCCUGGAGGUAUCAGAAGUGCGAAUGCUGACAUGAGUAACGAUUAACAGAGUGAAAAACUCUGUCGCCGAAAAUCCAAGGGUUUCUGCGCAAGGUUAAUCCGCGCAGAGUUAGUCGACCCCUAAGACGAGGGCGAAAGCCGUAGUCGAUGGAAACAAGGUUAAUAUUCCUUGACCAGAUGGUAGUGACGGAUUUUGUAAAUUGUUAACUCUUAAUGGAUUGAGUUAGCUGUGAAAAAGUCCCAGGAAAUAGCUCCAUCAUAAGACCGUACCCGAAACCGACACAGGUGGAUUAUUAGAGUAUAAUUAGGCGCUUGAGAGAAUGAUGUUGAAGGAACUCGGCAAAAUGCCUCUGUAACUUCGGAAGAAAGAGGACCCAUUUUUAGGCAACUAUAAUUGGGUGGCACAAGCCAGGGAGAUGCGACUGUUUAUCAAAAACACAGGACUCUGCUAACACGUAAGUGGAUGUAUAGGGUCUGACGCCUGCCCGGUGCUGGAAGGUUAAUGCGAUGAGUGCAAGCUCAUUUCUGAAGCCCCAGUGAACGGCGGCCGUAACUAUAACGGUCCUAAGGUAGCGAAAUUCCUUGUCGGGUAAGUUCCGACCUGCAUGAAUGGCGU
rnacentral:rRNA from 1 species